GGACGGCUGAGGCAGCCCAGCGCCCAGAGUAAGUCCUCAAGGAUUGCUCAGCAGAUGGAUGUUGUGGUGGUGGUACCACCUGUCCAGCCUUCCCCCACCUGUGAGCCGUUGGCACGCACAUGCUUACACAGGCACACCUUCAAUUUACAGCAGCUUUGGUUCCCGACCACGACAGCAAAGUGACACGUGAAUUCUGUGGUUUCCCAGGGCACAUAAAAGUUGUGUUUACAUCAUACUGUGGUCUCUUAAGCGUACAGUAACAUUAUGCUUGAAGAAAAAGUACAUUACUUAAUUUAAAAAUACUGUAUGGCAAAAAAAAUUCCAACCACUGUCUCAGCCUUCAUGAGUUGUGAUUUUUUGCAAUAGUAACUCAAAGAUCACAGAUCACUGUAACAAAUAUCAUAAUAAUGAAAAAGUUUGAAAUAUCGGGAGAAUGAUCAAAACACGACACAGAGACGUGCUUGAGCAAGUGCGGUGAGAAAAAUAACCCACUAGGAGUUCCCUUGUGGUGCAGUGGGUUAAGGAUCUGGCAUUUCCACUGCAGUGGCUUCGGUUGCUGCUAUGGCAUGGGUUCAGUCUCUGGCCCAGGAACUUCUUCAUGCCACAGGUACAGCUGAAAAAAAGAAAAAUGACCCCGUAGACUUGCUUCAUAACAGGGUUGCCACAAACUUUCAGUUUGCAAUAAAUAAAAAAAGCAGUGUCUGUGAAGGGAAAUUAAGUGAAAUACAGUAAAAUGAGGUAUGCUUAUAAUCAUUCAAAGACAGAGUUUACUAUUCUACUUUUUUUGUAAACUUAGCAUUUUAUCACCACUUUUUAGCUGUAUGACCCUGGAAAGUUAUUUAAUCUCUGUGUCUUAGUUUUCUCAUUAGUAAAAUGGAGUGCUGUUAUCCAAAUAAAAUACAGGAUGCCCAGUUCAAUUUGAAUUUCAGAUAAACAAUGGGUAUAUCUGUUGAACUCUGCCUCUUAUAUAUUUAUUUGCUGAAUCUGGCAACCUUACAUUAAGAUGUAUCGUAAUGCAUGUGAAAUACUUAUCAUAGCACUGGACAUAGAGAAACUGCUCAAUAAGUAUUGCCAUUAUUACUGUUAUUAUUAUAAUUUCUGAUGAUACAGUUAUUGCAAUGACUAUAUCCCAAAGGGUAGAUGAAUCUUGUUUUACUCAACAUUUAUUUUUGGGGGCAUUUGUAGUAAUUUUUCAUUUCUAUAAAAAAUUUAUAGCCAAGUUCCCACUCCCCUUUGGGAAAAUUUCUUAGUAAUUAAUUAUUGCCAACGGGUUCCAAUCAUUUUCCGUUAUAUCUAUGCCAGUUAGUCCUGCUACUUGUCAACAGUCAGUCUACUACUGUUAGGUGGUGUAACGUGAAGAAAAGGUUACUAAUUUAAAAGUUUUUAAGGGGCCUGGUUGCUGUUUCAACCUGUACUUUUUUGUUGGUCGUACUGAAUGUUUUUAAUGUUUUAAACCAGUUUAUAUUUCCUGCUAUGUGAAUCUUUUAUGUUUUUUCUCUACCAUGUACAAAUUUAUUUUUUGAGAAUCUUAAUGUUUUUCUUACCAGUAUACAUUAGUUGGACCAUAAACAGUCUGUCAAAUUAGCUUAUAGAAGGAGCACUGUAUAGUCAGUGGACUCACGUUGUCUGACAGUAACCAACCCGUUAUACCAGACUGCCUUCUGAAAUGCUAGGAGUGCAUCCAGAAAUAGGAAUUCAGGAAUUGCUGUUGCCUUCCUGUAUGCAUGAGGAUGCGGGUUUGAUCCCUGGUCUUGCGCAGUGGGUUAAGGAUCCAGCGUUGCCGUGAGCUGUGGUAUAGGUCACAGAUGCGGCUCGGAUCUGGCACUGUCGUGGCUGUGGUGUAGGCUGGCAGCUGCAGCUCUGAUUCGAUCCCUAACCUGGGAACUUCCAUAUGCUGCAGGUGCAAGCCUUGAAAGAAAGAAAGAGGAAUUCACUGUAACAUUCUUUCCAGUGCACAGUGCUUGCUGCCUUAAUUUAUGUGAAAUAUGAAAAACAGGGUUGUUGUAGAAUUUGGAUCUCUUUUGCUUUGUUUCCUUUCCCUCUUUCCAACUCCCAUCCCCUCCUAGCACUUUAUUGUAGUAGCCACACUGAUCUGAUCACUCUUCUAAUUAUAAUUAAAUUAAAUUCAAAAAAACAUCCAUUGAGUGCCUCUUAAGUGCCAGGUACUAGGUUAGGCAUCACUGACUCCAAGAUACAUUAGACGUGGCUACUGCCCCUGUGGAACAGAGAUUAAACAGUAAUUGCAAUUAAUAACAUAAAGAUCGAAGGGAGAUAUGUACUGGAUGCAGUGCAAGAAAAUAGGAGAGAAGUAAUUAGCCGCUUUGAGUGGAUCUCAGUAGAGGACUGCUGGAGAAGUUGGUGCUUGGGUGGUGCCCUUUGCCUGGAGUGUGUGUUUGGGAAGGACAUUUUAGGAAUUUACACAUGUUCUAAGAUAGGAGACAGUGGCUCUUUGGUCGUAGCUGGUGGGCAUCACUGGGAAUGUUGAGAGACGAGUCUGCUCCAGGAGACAUGGGUCUUCCAGUCGUGGAAGCCCUAGUUUGCUGUGGUCGACGUCCACUAGGACUUGGGGCUGGAGGACUUGGUGCAGAAAUCUCGAAGGAAGUGCAGUUUCCUGCGAUGAGACCAGAGGCUCACCAUCAUUCUCAGCAGUGUGGUCCAGGAGACUCUUCGGGAAGGGGAAGCUCUGUGAGUGUUCUUCCAGGGCUUCCUGGUUCCUCAAGGGAAGGAGCUCACGUUGCUGGUGGUGUUCUCCUGACAGACGGGAAUCACUGCACGCGAGAUUACCUGUUCAGAUCCCCAGUCAUGUCACCCUGAAACUCGAGUGUAAUUACCCCGCACAGCUGUAAAACUGCCUUUGGCACGUUUAGUCAUCUGGUUCAAACAUCUGGGUUCCAGACAGAAUUUCAGACUAUGCCAGCAGUGACCUCGUGCUUCCUUGCCUGUUUAUUUAAUAAUGAGAAAGCAACGUGUUUGGUUGCAUCGCAGCUACUUAGCUUGAAGACAUGCACAGUCUGUUUUCUCUGAUGCUAUAGGGCCAGGAGGAAAUGAGCAUGGGAGGCCUGCCCCGUGCCCACCAAGCCGUGCUGUGGGGUGGUGGUUGAUUCUGUAUACAGGGGCUGCCAAGUGGCCAGUACAGCUCUUUCAAGUAAUCGAGUCAAAUGCCUAUAGGCAAGUCUUACACUUUUCACUGUUCAUGUCUGCUUCCCCCCACACACACACACACACAUAAACUUUUCUUAUCACAUUUGGGGCUAUGCCCGGCCACUAGAGACAUUGCACUUUGCAUCACCUAUGGCACUGCAGCCCCACCAAAGGGCUUUAAACGAAAAAAAAUCUAGCAGGCAGAUUUGUCUCUUAAUCAGAUGGCUCUGAAGGCAGGGCGGGGGUAGACUGGAGAGAUUAUGAUUAGAGAUGCCAUUCACUCACUCAUCCAAGGCUUAUUGACCCUCUCCUGUGUUCCAGGCUCUGUUCUGGGUAUCAGACAGACCUAGGUACCUGGAUACAGUCGAGAACCAAACAAAACAUAAAAAGCUUGCCCUUGUGGAGCGUCCAUGUUGGCAAGAGGAGGAUGAUAAUAUGUAAUUUAAUUAACUACCGAGUACGUUAGCGAUUAGUGGUAAGGAGGACGACAAAGCACGGAAAGAGAGUAGACGAGGAAAGUAAAACGGCAUCACUGAGAAACUGACCUGUGAGUGAAGGUCAGAGAUGUGGGAGGACGAGGUGGACAGAGCACUCUGGGGGGCGGGGCAGCAGGUGUAAAUGUCCCGAGGCAGGCACAUGUUUGAUGCGUGUAGGGUUAGCCAGGGGCAGGGGCAGUGGGACUGUGGAGGCGUUGGGGAAGCAGAUGAGGUCAGAGAGCUUAUGGCAGGCUGACUGGAAGGCCCUAGAAGCCAUUGUCACUUGUACUCAGAGAAGCAUGGGAAGCCAUCAGAAAGUUUUAAGCAGAGAGGUAAUAAUAGACUUAGGAAUAGCAAGGAUCCCUCUGGCCAGCAUAUAGAAAACAGACUGUAGGAGGGAAGGGUGGAAUCAGGGAGAGCAGUGACACGGCUGGUGUGGGAGUUGACGGUGGCUUGGACCAGACUGAUAGCAGUGGAGGCAAUGAGAAGUGGUCACUUUCUGGGCUGCGUGAAGGUAGAGCCAACAGUAUUGACCAACGGACAGAUGUAGAGGGUAAAAGACAGAGAGGAAUCAAGAUUUGGGCCCGAGCGAGAGAAUCGAGGAGAAGUUUGAAGGGAAUAAUUAGGGGCUUAGUUGGAACUGCUUAUUAGUGAGUCAAGAGGGGAACAGACCAGGAAGCUGGACAUAUGAGUCUGGAGUUUGGGAAGGAUGGCUGGACUGGAGAUACAAACGCGAGAGUUGGAGGCAUGGAGGUGCUAUUUAAAAGGAGUCUGUCGGAAAUGGUCUAGGAAGGAGAUGUUGACGAGAGGGGUGAAGAGGACCAGGAUGAGCUGGGAACUCUCCGAAACUAACAGGAUGGCGAGAAAGUGAGGAACCAGCAAGGGAAGUUUCGUAAAGAUAGAUCAGAGAAUUCAAGCCAGAGAGUUGACCUGAAAGCCAAGAUGGAGAAGAAGGUGUGAGAAAGAGGAGAGAAUAAACAGCUGGGUCAGAUGCUCCCAAGAGAUGGAGGAGAAUGAGUGCCGACCGCGAACCGGAGCAGCUAGGUAAGGCGGGGCUCAUUGGAAGUGAUGCUGACAAGCCAUUUAGGUAGAACGGUGGUAACAAGAGCCUGAUCAGAGUGGCCUUAUAAGAAGUUGGCAGGAAAGGAGUCAUGGGCUCUUUCAAGAGUUAAGGACUCUUUGAAGUUAUUCUGCAGGUGAGGACAGAGAAAUGAGUUAGGCACCAGUUAGGGAAAUGAGAUCAGGUUGUUUUUUUUUUUUUUUAAUUUUGUUUAAGGUGUAAGAAAUGACUGCACUUAGUUGGUGAGAGUGACCUGGUUGAGAACAUAAAUUCAUGGUGUGAGAUAAUGAGGGGAGGCUUGCUGGAGGGAUUUUCUUGAGUGGGCUCUUGGAUGUGCAUCCUGGAGUUCAAGGACAAGGUCGAGUCUGCAGGUGUACAUUUGGAAGCCAUCAGCAUAAAGAUUAUAUUUCAAGCCAAGAAACUAGAUGAACUUACCAAGGAGUGACUGUAGGUAAAAGAAGUCAAACAACGAGUCAGAGAUGAGGGAGAUGGGAACGAAGCAGCCAAGGAGACUGACUCUGACCUCUCAUCUGAGCAAAGAGUCAAGUGGACACAUGGGGGGUCAGGGAUGGUGAGGAGGUGGUAGCAUCAGUGGACCGUAGGUGCUCUGGGGUGGGGUGAUUACUGGGGGUUCUGGGAGGAGGAGGGGACCAGAGAGGACGGAGGAGCUGCCAUUGCUGGAUGACUGGAUCUAGGCUGUGAUCGUGGGAGUGAGGCCGAAAGGUAGGGUGGAAAAUAAGUGAUGGAAGGAAACAGGGAAAAGAAUGGAAAGGCCAGAGUUUGGCAAGUACUGAGUUAACCAAAGUUAAAGACAGAAGUAGUGUUGGGGGAGGGACAGCAGGCCGGGAAGGGGGCAAGUGACCUGAGGAAAGUGGGGCGAGGCGGGAUGGUGACAGUGUCGAGGUGCAGUCGGGAGACUGGAGAGUCAGAGCUGACGGCACCAGGAGUAGUGGACUCUUAGCAUUUAUCCAGGCAGAAAAGUGUUUUAAGGCAGUGGAAUUGGGGACGUGAGGAGAAAUAUAAACACUCAGAGGUAAAAUAGUUGGUACCUUGAUAGGAAGCAGAGGGAUGCGAAUUCCCACACUUCUGGCAAAGGUGCCUGGGAGGAAGGUUUACUGCAGAAUGGCCACCAUGUUUUGUGGGAAAAUAAUACGAUUAAUUUUAAAUGCCUUAAGUCCAAGGAUGUAUGUGAGAUCUGAUGCCGAUGUGAGGGCAGGAGGCUGGUGGAUCCUCGGAGAGAAGUUAGUGGAAAUAAAAGGUGAGGAAAGCUUGAAUUCUAAGGCCCCUUUAGGAACUUGAAGGGUAUCGGAAAGUGAUUCUCAAUUCCAGUUAUGCAUCAGAAUUCAUCAGGGAACUUGCAAAGACACAACUCCCCAGCCUGGCUAAACCAGAACCUUCAAUAUCUCUAUACCUGAGUCUGGUUUACAGCCAAGGAUGCAAAUGGCACGUAUUUAUGGCCUUUAUGGAUUGAAGUUACUUUUUACAGCCCCAUUGUCAAAAUAAAUGCUCUAACCAUCUGUAUAAACCCCUCAUAAAAUAUUAGGGAAGGAAAUCUAAGCAUGAGAGUGCAUUUACUACCACCAUUGAUCUUUUUUUUUCUUACCACAGUGGGAGUCCUCUCCAGUUAUUAGUAAGUACAGCUGCCCUGGGUGCAAUUAAUAAUAAACUCUGUAAAAAACAAUUAGCCACGGGAGGUAACUGUAGCAUCCUGGAGCUAACUAAAAUCGUGGUCUUCCUUAUUGCUAGGCAAGUAAUACGGUUAUCACUUAUUUUUGAUGUAGGGUAACCACAGUGUACAUAAACUCUGUAAAAAAUCUAACCAGGCUCCGAGCUUUAAGGAUAUGGUGGCUCGAGUCCUUCUUGCCAACAUGUUCACCUCCUCUCAGAAAAACCUGGGAAACAAGGAGGAAGACGCAUGAAUGAGGGGACACGUUAGAGCAGCUUGUCCCACUUUAGUCAGAAGAUCUCAGUGUAUGUGUUUUCAGUUCUGAUGGUUUUGAAUAGUGUGGAUGUCAGUUGACAGCACAGCUGAGCUAGCUCUAAAGCCUCCCCAAAUUAUUUCAGAGGGCAGGAGAAAACUGUUGUUUGCGCUUCUCUCAUCUAUUCCACUGUGACUUAGAUUUAAUGUCACCGUACUAUCCCGAGUUUAUAGGUCAUCCUUCUGCCAGGGCUUUGGAAGUGCUUUGUGAGUAGUACUUUAAUUUUGAGGGAGCUGAAAUUCGUCAUGUUCCGGAAUCUAUUUCAGAGAACUCUCCCAAAGUGUUUCUUUUUUACUUCCAAACGCUGUGGAUAGAAGCCUCCAUUGAGUCUGUCUCCACGCUGCUUUAGAGGCCAUUUAUGUGUGGAUUCCUGAAGGCUCCUGGGGGAGUCUAAUCCCCACAGGCUCUGUUCGAGAGGAUCCACUCUGCAGCUGAUAAUGAUUAAAGCUGCAGCUCUUUUCCAUUACAUUGGUUUUCUGAUCUUUUAAUUUUUAUACUGUCCCACGCCUCAGUGACUCAAUCACAUCCAUCUUCCAGUACCUCAGAAUGUGGGAACUGGGAAGUCAAUUGGGCAGAUUCACAAAAAGCUUGAGAGCAUGUGCCUUGACAGUAAAAGGUGAUGCUUUAGGGCAACAGACAGUCAUCGGAUUUGGUCCGGGGAAGCACAUGCAGAGAAAUGGAUAUUACAUAGUGCCCUUAAUGAUGCAGCUUAGAGCACCGGGAUGAGAAGUGGCCAUACACGACGUGGUUCUUAAAUGUUCAGGAAAUAGUUUCAUUAACUACAUUAAAAUAACAAGCACAAAAUAUCCGUGGAUUUUACAUUGUCUUUACCUGCUCUUUUUUCAAAGCCUCAUGCUAAUUAAACUAUCAUUCCUAUAAUAAACAUACUGGAUGUGACCUAAAAGUCAUUAAAUAAGACUUGUUUUAGGCUGAUAAAUGGUACAGACUAAGUAGGCAUAAAUUUUUACUUUUAAUGAAUGAAGGAGUAGUUAAAUAUAUAGAACCAAGUUUGUUAAAACAUCAGAUGUUAGGAAAAUUAGAAGUAGAGUGGGAGUCUACCAUACUUUGCUAAUAAUUUGACACAUAAAAUAAAAAAUGAAUAACUUGGAGGCUAGAAUAAUGUAGUUAAAACUUUGAUUUAUACGAAAUACUUAUGGAAUUUUCUACUUACCAAGAGAAAAAUAAUGUUCAUGGAACACUUCAAAAAAAUUGAUCACUAUGUGACUAGACCAUAAAAAAGGAGUGUUAGUUCCAGAAGAUCAAAAUUGUAUAGACCACAUUUAUGGAUGGUAAUGCAAUAAAACUAUCAAUGAGUGAAUAGCAAGUAACGACACCACCACAACCCUAAACACCCAAGAAGAGAACUCUUUCUGAGGUUCUUGAGUAAAAAAAAAAAAAAAA
ensembl:lncRNA